rnacentral:lncRNA from 1 species
GGCUUGGAUCCUAGCAGCAAGUCUUCGUCGGUGAAAUAGAUUGCGUCCUCGAUGGCACAGCAUGUGGCGCAUUCAUGUGGUCGAAGCUUCAAGCCUUCGUUCUUGCUUUCUUGCACUUCGUGGUCAUUGGGACUUUCCAAGACUGCUGCUAAUGCUAAUCGCAUCUUCUUUGGUAAUCGUAGCGCUUCCUCAAUGCUAAAGUGUGUUGGCAGACCUUCUUCGAGCGUGAGAGUUUUUUCUCCCUCAGUGGUGAUAUCUUUGCCUUUUGAAGGUUCUUCUAUUUCGACCAUGUGGCAUGCAGCGAUAGUACACUGUUGGAAGAAGUCAUUCGGGAAGUACUCGUGCAAGGAGACAGGAA